rnacentral:rRNA from 1 species
CGAAGGGGCUAGCGUUGCUCGGAAUUACUGGGCGUAAAGGGCGCGUAGGCGGCGGGCCCAGUCAGGCGUGAAAUCCCCGGGCUCAACCCGGGGCUGCGCUUGAUACUGGCCCGCUCGAGGACGGGAGAGGCUCGCGGAAUUCCCAGUGUAGAGGUGAAAUUCGUAGAUAUUGGGAAGAACACCGGUGGCGAAGGCGGCGAGCUGGCCCGUUUCUGACGCUGAGGCGCGACAGCGUGGGGAGCAAAACAGGAUU